rnacentral:rRNA from 1 species
CCUACGGGUGGCAGCAGUAGGGAAUCUUCCACAAUGGGCGAAAGCCUGAUGGAGCAACGCCGCGUGGGUGAAGAAGGUCUUCGGAUCGUAAAACCCUGUUGUUAGAGAAGAAAGUGCGUGAGAGUAACUGUUCACGUGUCGACGGUAUCUAACCAGAAAGCCACGGCUAACUACGUGCCAGCAGCCGCGGUAAUACGUAGGUGGCAAGUGUUAUCCGGAUUUAUUGGGCGGAAAGGGAACGCAGGCGGUCUUUUAAGUCUGAUGUGAAAGCCUUCGGCUUAACCGGAGUAGUGCCUUGGAAACUUGUAGACUUGAGUGCAGAAGAGGAGAGUGGACCUCCAUGUGUAGCGG